GAUGAACGCUGGCGGCGUGCCUAAUACAUGCAAGUCGAGCGAACGGACGAGAAGCUUGCUUCUCUGAUGUUAGCGGCGGACGGAUGAGUAACACGUGGAUAACCUACCUAUAAGACUGGGAUAACUUCGGGAAACCGGAGCUAAUACCGGAUAAUAUUUUGAACCGCAUGGUUCAAAAGUGAAAGACGGUCUUGCUGUCACUUAUAGAUGGAUCCGCGCUGCAUUAGCUAGUUGGUAAGGUAACGGCUUACCAAGGCAACGAUGCAUAGCCGACCUGAGAGGGUGAUCGGCCACACUGGAACUGAGACACGGUCCAGACUCCUACGGGAGGCAGCAGUAGGGAAUCUUCCGCAAUGGGCGAAAGCCUGACGGAGCAACGCCGCGUGAGUGAUGAAGGUCUUCGGAUCGUAAAACUCUGUUAUUAGGGAAGAACAUAUGUGUAAGUAACUGUGCACAUCUUGACGGUACCUAAUCAGAAAGCCACGGCUAACUACGUGCCAGCAGCCGCGGUAAUACGUAGGUGGCAAGCGUUAUCCGGAAUUAUUGGGCGUAAAGCGCGCGUAGGCGGUUUUUUAAGUCUGAUGUGAAAGCCCACGGCUCAACCGUGGAGGGUCAUUGGAAACUGGAAAACUUGAGUGCAGAAGAGGAAAGUGGAAUUCCAUGUGUAGCGGUGAAAUGCGCAGAGAUAUGGAGGAACACCAGUGGCGAAGGCGACUUUCUGGUCUGUAACUGACGCUGAUGUGCGAAAGCGUGGGGAUCAAACAGGAUUAGAUACCCUGGUAGUCCACGCCGUAAACGAUGAGUGCUAAGUGUUAGGGGGUUUCCGCCCCUUAGUGCUGCAGCUAACGCAUUAAGCACUCCGCCUGGGGAGUACGACCGCAAGGUUGAAACUCAAAGGAAUUGACGGGGACCCGCACAAGCGGUGGAGCAUGUGGUUUAAUUCGAAGCAACGCGAAGAACCUUACCAAAUCUUGACAUCCUUUGACAACUCUAGAGAUAGAGCCUUCCCCUUUGGGGGACAAAGUGACAGGUGGUGCAUGGUUGUCGUCAGCUCGUGUCGUGAGAUGUUGGGUUAAGUCCCGCAACGAGCGCAACCCUUAAGCUUAGUUGCCAUCAUUAAGUUGGGCACUCUAAGUUGACUGCCGGUGACAAACCGGAGGAAGGUGGGGAUGACGUCAAAUCAUCAUGCCCCUUAUGAUUUGGGCUACACACGUGCUACAAUGGACAAUACAAAGGGCAGCGAAACCGCGAGGUCAAGCAAAUCCCAUAAAGUUGUUCUCAGUUCGGAUUGUAGUCUGCAACUCGACUACAUGAAGCUGGAAUCGCUAGUAAUCGUAGAUCAGCAUGCUACGGUGAAUACGUUCCCGGGUCU
rnacentral:rRNA from 1 species